rnacentral:lncRNA from 1 species
AUGUCACGCUCAAGGACAGCGGCCCGCGGAGGUUCUGGGUACCAGAGAUGGUGCAUGAAGACCAAGGUGGCAAGGGUCGUGUCUCUGCUGCUGGGAAUGACUGGAAGAAUGGAAUCAUAUAGUGGGCAGCAGAGACGGCGAGAUUUUAAUCUCAAGCAAAGAGGAGCUUUUUAGAGAUGAAACUUCUUUAAAGCAUCUUAAGGCAAAUGGGGCAGUUGAUAAAGGAAGCUUGUGCUAUAAAAACCGCCAUGGAUAAUGGAACUUCGGCAGGUAUGGUAUUUCCACACAUACUCCCUAAAAUGAACACCAGAUAUGUCACAUCUCUACUGUAAACCUUCAGUGGUUUCCCGUUGUCUUUAGGAUAAAAUCCAGACUCUUCAUGUGGCUUGCCAGGCCCUGUGUGAUGUGACACCUACUGCCUCCUCUAGCCCUGCCUCUCCCCAUUCUCUUCCUCAUUCUCCGCUUCAAAACCUAGGUGCUGGCUACUCUGCUCUGGUGUUUCUGUGUAAAGUGCCCUCUCUCUCACUGCUGGGCCUCUGUGCAUGAUUUUCUUUCUAUCAAGAACAUUUUCCUCUGACCCCUACCUCUUUGGCUUCAGACUUUGAUUUCUUGUGGAAGCGCUUCCUGACCUUCCCAGUUUGGCUUACACACCAUUCUUGUGGGCUCCAACACUUGCACUUCCCCCAUUUCAGUGCUUCUGAACUACACUGUAAUUGCGUGUUUCCUUGUAUGUCUCAACUAGACUUUCAACUCCAUGAAGCUCCAGGGGAACAGAAGCCAAGUCUGUCUCACUUGUACUUGUAUUUUUAGCACCUCGCAUGGAGCCUGGCACAGGGUGGCUUCUCAACAAUUACACUUUAAAUUGAGAUUGAGUCAAAGAAACAAACAAAAUUCAGGAGAGG